AACGCUGGCGGCGUGCCUACACAUGCAAGUCGAGCGAGAAAGUCCCUUCGGGGGCGAGUAGAGCGGCGGACGGGUGAGUAAGACGUGGAUAAUCUCCCCUCGAGCUUGGGAUAACCCCGCGAAAGUGGGGCUAAUACCGGAUAAGACCACGUAGCAUAUGCUACGGGGUAAAAGGUGGCUUGUAUUUAUAUGAGCUAUCACUUGAGGAUGAGUCCAUGGCCUAUCAGCUUGUUGGUGAGGUAAGAGCUUACCAAGGCUAUGACGGGUAGCUGGUCUGAGAGGACGACCAGCCACACUGGGACUGAGACACGGCCCAGACUCCUACGGGAGGCAGCAGUGGGGAAUAUUGGGCAAUGGGCGCAAGCCUGACCCAGCGACGCCGCGUGGGUGAUGAAGGCCUUCGGGUUGUAAAGCCCUUUCGUGCGGAAAGAACAGUCCCGUGGUGAAUAUCCGCGGGAUUUGACGGUACCGCAGGAAGAAGCACCGGCUAACUCCGUGCCAGCAGCCGCGGUAAUACGGAGGGUGCAAGCGUUGUUCGGAAUUACUGGGCGUAAAGGGCGUGUAUGCGGGCUUGUAAGUCGGAUGUGAGAUCACUGGGCUUACCCAGUAACUGCAUCCGAAACUGCUUGUCUUGAGUGC
rnacentral:rRNA from 1 species